rnacentral:tRNA from 1 species
GGCGCGGUGGCCUAAUGGUUAGCGCGUUGGACUCCGGAUCGAGCGGUCCUGGUUCGAGCCCUGGCUGGGGUCG